UCCAAUCGAACUCGGAGAUAGCUGGUUCUCCCCGAAAUAGCUUUAGGGCUAGCCUGAGGUAGUAAGUAUAGGCGGUAGAGCACUGAUCGGGCUAGGGGCCGUAAAGGUUACCGAACCCUGUCAAACUCCGAAUGGAUAUACUGUAGAGCCUUGGAGUCAGACUACGAGUGAUAAGAUCCGUGGUCAAAAGGGAAACAGCCCAGACCACCAGCUAAGGUCCCCAAUGUCGUACUAAGUGGAAAAGGAUGUGGGGUUUCAUAAACAACCAGGAUGUUGGCUCAGAAGCAGCCACCAUUUAAAGAGUGCGUAAUAGCUCACUGGUCGAGAGACCCUGCGCCGAAGAUUCCCGGGGCUAAAGUACGAAACCGAAGCUGUGGCUGUAUACGUAAAGUAUACGGGGUAGGGGAGCGUUCCCAUAGGGUAGAAGUCGAACUGGAAGGUUCGGUGGACUUGUGGGAAGUGAGAAUGUUGGUAUGAGUAGCGAAAAGAAAGGUGAGAAUCCUUUCCACCGAAAGCAUAAGGAUUCCUGAGCAACGAUCGUCGUCUCAGGGUAAGUCGGGACCUAAUCCGAGGCAGAGAGCGUAGGAGAUGGACAACUGGUUGAUAUUCCAGUACCGGUAGUAAUUGUUUGAGCAAUGGAGUGACACAGAAGGGCAGGCAAGCAUGCGAAUGGAAGAGCAUGUGUAAGCGUGUAGGGUGGUGCAUAGGCAAAUCCGUGCACUGAAAGCCUGAGGCGUGAUGCGGAGUGAGCAGAGAUGCGAGCGAAGUUGUUGACCCCACACUGUCGAGAAAAGCUUCUAGUGAGAGAGCUACCGCCCGUACCGUAAACCGACACAGGUAUGCGGGGAGAGAAUCCUAAGGUGCGCGGGAGAACCCUCGUUAAGGAACUCGGCAAAAUGUACCCGUAACUUCGGGAUAAGGGUAGCCACUGUUGUGAAGUCCCAUGCGGAUGGAGCAUAGAGUGGUCGCAGAGAAGAGGCCCAAGCGACUGUUUACCAUAAACACAGGUGCCUGCUAAAGCGAAAGCUGACGUAUAGGUGCUGACACCUGCCCAGUGCCGGAAGGUUAAGGAAGGAUGUUCGGAUUAGUCCAAAGCAUUCGACUGAAGCCCCGGUGAACGGCGGCCGUAACUAUAACGGUCCUAAGGUAGCGAAAUUCCUUGUCGGGUAAGUUCCGACCCGCACGAAAGGUGUAACGAUUUGGGCACUGUCUCAACGAGGGACCCGGUGAAAUUGAAAUACCUGUGAAGAUGCAGGUUACCCGCGACUGGACAGAAAGACCCCAUGGAGCUUUACUGUAACCUGACAUUGGGUUUUGAUACAUUACGUACAGGAUAGGUGGGAGGCAUGGAAAGCUGGACGCUAGUCUGGCUGGAGCCGACGUUGGGAUACCACCCUUGAUGUAUUGAAAUUCUAACCGCGAGAGUAACGAAAUCCGGGACAGUGUCAGGCGGGCAGUUUGACUGGGGCGGUCGCCUCCGAAAGAGUAACGGAGGCGCCCAAAGGUUCCCUCAGCGCGGCCGGAAAUCGCGCGAAGAGUGUAAAGGCAGAAGGGAGCUUGACUGCGAGUCAAACACGACGAGCAGGUACGAAAGUAGGGCUUAGUGAUCCGGUGGUACCGAGUGGAAGGGCCAUCGCUCAACGGAUAAAAGCUACCCUGGGGAUAACAGGCUAAUCUCUCCCAAGAGUCCAUAUCGACGGGGAGGUUUGGCACCUCGAUGUCGGCUCAUCACAUCCUGGGGCUGAAGUCGGUCCCAAGGGUUGGGCUGUUCGCCCAUUAAAGUGGUACGUGAGCUGGGUUCAGAACGUCGUGAGACAGUUCGGUCCCUAUCCAUCGCGGGCGCAAGAGAUUUGAAGGGGGCUGCUCCUAGUACGAGAGGACCGGAGUGGACGAACCGCUGGUGUACCAAUUAUCCCGCCAGGGGUACAGUUGGGUAGCUACGUUCGGAAAGGAUAAACGCUGAAAGCAUCUAAGCGUGAAACCAGCCUUAAGAUGAGAUCUCUCAUAGAGCAAUCUAGUAAGACACCUUAAAGAAGAUGAGGUUGAUAGGUCGGGAGUGUAAGUACAGCAAUGUAUUGAGCGGACCGAUACUAAUAUGUCGAGGGCUUGACUUA
rnacentral:rRNA from 1 species